GGUCCCAUAGCUCAGUUGGAUAGAGCGACGGUUUCCUAAACCGUAGGUCACAGGUUCGAUUCCUGUUGGGAUCA
rnacentral:tRNA from 1 species